AAGGAUCAUUAUCGAAUAAACUUGAGCAGGCUGUUUUUGCUGGUCCCUCGGGGCAUGUGCACGCUUGUCUCAUCUUUAUCAUCUCUCCAACUGUGCACCUCUUGUAGACCCUGGCUGUUUUGGAUGUUUUUCAUUCGAGUGGGGACUGCUGUGCUGUGAAAGUUUGGCUUUGCCCCCUUUCAUUAUCCAGGUCUAUGUUUAUCACAACCUCUCAAAAGUGUUUAGAAUGUUGGAUGUACCUAUAUAAAAAGUUGAAAUAUACAACUUUCAGCAACGGAUCUCUUGGCUCUC
rnacentral:misc_RNA from 1 species